rnacentral:tRNA from 1 species
GAGGGGGUAGCAUAAAUUUAGUGCGUUUUGUUUACACCAAAAAUGUAGCCGUGUGGCUUCCUCUCU